rnacentral:rRNA from 1 species
UCAACCUGAGAGUUUGAUCCUGGCUCAGAGCGAACGCUGGCGGCAGGCCUAACACAUGCAAGUCGAACGGCUCUUCGGAGCAGUGGCGGACGGGUGAGUAACACGUGGGAACGUGCCCUUUGGUACGGAACAACUGAGGGAAACUUCAGCUAAUACCGUAUGUGCCCCCUCCUUUGAUUAGGGGGGUGGGAAAGAUUUAUCGCCAUUGGAGCGGCCCGCGUUGGAUUAGGUAGUUGGUGGGGUAAUGGCCCACCAAGCCUACGAUCCAUAGCUGGUCUGAGAGGAUGAUCAGCCACACUGGGACUGAGACACGGCCCAGACUCCUACGGGAGGCAGCAGUGGGGAAUCUUGCGCAAUGGGCGAAAGCCUGACGCAGCCAUGCCGCGUGUAUGAUGAAGGUCUUAGGAUUGUAAAAUACUUUCACCGGGGAAGAUAAUGACGGUACCCG